ensembl:snRNA U4 U4 spliceosomal RNA
AGCUUUGCGCAGUGGCAGUAUCGUAGCCAAUGAGGUUUAUCCGAGGCGCGAUUAUUGCUCAUUGAAAAACCACAUGUCCUUACACCCGUUUCCUUUUUGUUGACUUCACUUACACGCACGAUUCAUUAAAAAAAGACUGCAAACAAUUUUAUCAAUUUUUUUUAAUAG